GUUUCUACUGCAACCCAUUCCCUUUAUGCUAGAUGAAUGAACGUCUCUCCACAUGCAAAGUUCUGACAGAUAAGUGUGUGUGAAAGCGGUCCUUCACAUAUCUUGUUGGAAACACAAAGAUUCUUAUCCGUUG